rnacentral:rRNA from 1 species
UUCAUGGCUCAGGACGAACGCUGGCGGCGUGCCUAACACACCUUAGUCGAACGAAGCUUGACGAAUGAUUUCUUCGGAAUGAAUUCUGAUAUGACUUAGUGGCGGACGGGUGAGUAACACGUGAGCAACCUGCCUUUCAGAGAGGAAUAACGGCUGGAAACGGUCGCUAAUACCUCAUAACGUAUAUUUAAGGCAUCUUAGAUAUACCAAAGAUUUAUCGCUGAAAGAUGGGCUCGCGUCUGAUUAGAUAGUUGGUGAGGUAACGGCUCACCAAGUCGACGAUCAGUAGCCGGACUGAGAGGUUGAACGGCCACAUUGGGACUGAGACACGGCCCAGACUCCUACGGGAGGCAGCAGUGGGGAAUAUUGCACAAUGGGCGCAAGCCUGAUGCAGCAACGCCGCGUGAGGGAAGACGGUUUUCGGAUUGUAAACCUUUGUCUUUGGUGAAGAAGGAAGUGACGGUAACCAAGGAGGAAGCCACGGCUAACUACGUGCCAGCAGCCGCGGUAAUACGUAGGUGGCAAGCGUUGUCCGGAAUUACUGGGUGUAAAGGGAGCGCAGGCGGGACUGCAAGUUGGAUGUGAAAUACCGAGGCUCAACCUCGGAGCUGCAUCCAAAACUGUAGUUCUUGAGUGAAGUAGAGGUAGGCGGAAUUCCGAGUGUAGCGGUGAAAUGCGUAGAUAUUCGGAGGAACACCAGUGGCGAAGGCGGCCUACUGGGCUUUAACUGACGCUGAGGCUCGAAAGUGUGGGGAGCAAACAGGAUUAGAUACCCUGGUAGUCCACACUGUAAACGAUGAUAGCUAGGUGUGGGGGGUCUGACCCCUUCCGUGCCGGAGUUAACGCAAUAAGCUAUCCACCUGGGGAGUACGGCCGCAAGGUUGCAACUCAAAUGAAUUGACGGA